UUAAGCGACUAAGCGUACACGGUGGAUGCCCUGGCAGUCAGAGGCGAUGAAGGACGUGCUAAUCUGCGAAAAGCGUCGGUAAGGUGAUAUGAACCGUUAUAACCGGCGAUGUCCGAAUGGGGAAACCCAGUGCAAUUCGUUGCACUAUCGUUAACUGAAUACAUAGGUUAACGAGGCGAACCGGGGGAACUGAAACAUCUAAGUACCCCGAGGAAAAGAAAUCAACCGAGAUUCCCCCAGUAGCGGCGAGCGAACGGGGAGCAGCCCAGAGUCUGAAUCAGCUUGUGUGUUAGUGGAACGGUCUGGAAAGUCCGACGGUACAGGGUGAUAGUCCCGUACACCAAAAUGCACAGGUUGUGAACUCGAAGAGUAGGGCGGGACACGUGGUAUCCUGUCUGAAUAUGGGGGGACCAUCCUCCAAGGCUAAAUACUCCUGACUGACCGAUAGUGAACCAGUACCGUGAGGGAAAGGCGAAAAGAACCCCGGCGAGGGGAGUGAAAAAGAACCUGAAACCGUGUACGUACAAGCAGUGGGAGCACCUUCGGGUGUGACUGCGUACCUUUUGUAUAAUGGGUCAGCGACUUAUAUUCUGUAGCAAGGUUAACCGUAUAGGGGAGCCGCAGGGAAACCGAGUCUUAACUGGGCGUUAAGUUGCAGGGUAUAGACCCGAAACCCGGUGAUCUAGCCAUGGGCAGGUUGAAGGUUGGGUAACACUAACUGGAGGACCGAACCGACUAAUGUUGAAAAAUUAGCGGAUGACUUGUGGCUGGGGGUGAAAGGCCAAUCAAACCGGGAGAUAGCUGGUUCUCCCCGAAAGCUAUUUAGGUAGCGCCUCGUGAACUCAUCUUCGGGGGUAGAGCACUGUUUCGGCUAGGGGGUCAUCCCGACUUACCAACCCGAUGCAAACUACGAAUACCGAAGAAUGUUAUCACGGGAGACACACGGCGGGUGCUAACGUCCGUCGUGAAGAGGGAAACAACCCAGACCGCCAGCUAAGGUCCCAAAGUCAUGGUUAAGUGGGAAACGAUGUGGGAAGGCACAGACAGCCAGGAUGUUGGCUUAGAAGCAGCCAUCAUUUAAAGAAAGCGUAAUAGCUCACUGGUCGAGUCGGCCUGCGCGGAAGAUGUAACGGGGCUAAACCAUGCACCGAAGCUGCGGCAGCGACACUAUGUGUUGUUGGGUAGGGGAGCGUUCUGUAAGCCUGCGAAGGUGACCUGUGAGGGUUGCUGGAGGUAUCAGAAGUGCGAAUGCUGACAUAAGUAACGAUAAAGCGGGUGAAAAGCCCGCUCGCCGGAAGACCAAGGGUUCCUGUCCAACGUUAAUCGGGGCAGGGUGAGUCGACCCCUAAGGCGAGGCCGAAAGGCGUAGUCGAUGGGAAACAGGUUAAUAUUCCUGUACUUGGUGUUACUGCGAAGGGGGGACGGAGAAGGCUAUGUUAGCCGGGCGACGGUUGUCCCGGUUUAAGCAUGUAGGCUGAUUAUCCAGGCAAAUCCGGAUAAUCAAGGCUGAGGUGUGAUGACGAGGCACUACGGUGCUGAAGUAACAAAUGCCCUGCUUCCAGGAAAAGCCUCUAAGCAUCAGGUAACAUUAAAUCGUACCCCAAACCGACACAGGUGGUCAGGUAGAGAAUACCAAGGCGCUUGAGAGAACUCGGGUGAAGGAACUAGGCAAAAUGGUGCCGUAACUUCGGGAGAAGGCACGCUGGUGUGUAGGUGAAGUCCCUGCGGAUGGAGCUGAGACCAGUCGAAGAUACCAGCUGGCUGCAACUGUUUAUUAAAAACACAGCACUGUGCAAACACGAAAGUGGACGUAUACGGUGUGACGCCUGCCCGGUGCCGGAAGGUUAAUUGAUGGGGUUAUCCGUAAGGAGAAGCUCUUGAUCGAAGCCCCGGUAAACGGCGGCCGUAACUAUAACGGUCCUAAGGUAGCGAAAUUCCUUGUCGGGUAAGUUCCGACCUGCACGAAUGGCGUAAUGAUGGCCAGGCUGUCUCCACCCGAGACUCAGUGAAAUUGAACUCGCUGUGAAGAUGCAGUGUACCCGCGGCAAGACGGAAAGACCCCGUGAACCUUUACUAUAGCUUGACACUGAACAUUGAGCCUUGAUGUGUAGGAUAGGUGGGAGGCUUUGAAGCGUGGACGCCAGUCUGCGUGGAGCCAACCUUGAAAUACCACCCUUUAAUGUUUGAUGUUCUAACGUUGGCCCCUGACCGGGGUUGCGGACAGUGUCUGGUGGGUAGUUUGACUGGGGCGGUCUCCUCCCAAAGCGUAACGGAGGAGCACGAAGGUUAGCUAAUCCUGGUCGGACAUCAGGAGGUUAGUGCAAUGGCAUAAGCUAGCUUGACUGCGAGCGUGACGGCGCGAGCAGGUGCGAAAGCAGGUCAUAGUGAUCCGGUGGUUCUGAAUGGAAGGGCCAUCGCUCAACGGAUAAAAGGUACUCCGGGGAUAACAGGCUGAUACCGCCCAAGAGUUCAUAUCGACGGCGGUGUUUGGCACCUCGAUGUCGGCUCAUCACAUCCUGGGGCUGAAGUAGGUCCCAAGGGUAUGGCUGUUCGCCAUUUAAAGUGGUACGCGAGCUGGGUUUAGAACGUCGUGAGACAGUUCGGUCCCUAUCUGCCGUGGGCGCUGGAGAAUUGAGGGGGGCUGCUCCUAGUACGAGAGGACCGGAGUGGACGCAUCACUGGUGUUCGGGUUGUCAUGCCAAUGGCACUGCCCGGUAGCUAAAUGCGGAAGAGAUAAGUGCUGAAAGCAUCUAAGCACGAAACUUGCCCCGAGAUGAGUUCUCCCUGAGACUUUAAGUCUCCUGAAGGAACGUUAAAGACGAUGACGUUGAUAGGCCGGGUGUGUAAGCGCAGCGAUGCGUUGAGCUAACCGGUACUAAUGAACCGUGAGGCUUAACCUU
rnacentral:rRNA from 1 species